GCAGGGAGGCCUUCAGCAAGGCAGGCCCACAGCAGCGCCAGCGGGUCGUGCUGUGUGUGGGCCCUGUCAGCCCGGCGUGCCCAGCACUGGAAGGUUGUUGUUUUCCAUUCGUUGCUGAGGAGGAGCAAACCUGAGGGCUCACAGUGCGCCCAGGCUCUGAGGAGCAGGGCUGAACUGUAGCAUCACCCUUAACUGAGCAAAGAGCCAGCAGUCCUUGCUGCCAGGGCUCCGUGUGCCGAGACAGCUAGGAAGGAGCAUUUGUGGGGAGGUACAAAUCCAAGAUGCUGAUCAAUCGGUUUGAUCGGGGCGGUGUUGCCAGGCUGUGGCAGGAGGGCUGUGUCAAUGAGCUGGAGGUGCAGGAGGCCUGGGUACCAACAAGGGCAGCAAAGGAGGUGUGGAGCAGCUGGGUACAGUCUCCAAAGCUGAGCAGUGAACUGCAUUGGCAGAGGAUGGGCAAAGCUGGAAUGAAGGUAACACCAGUUCUCCAAUAAACCUCAUGGGAGAAGAGCUGUAGGGUAUCCAGAAACCUCCAUCCUGGUGGGUAAGCGAACCACCUCCGUCCUGAACAUCCCCUGAGGAUUUUACAGUGCAUUCCUCGUCUCUUGCUGGUGAAGCCACUGCUGGUGUUGAGCUUUAAUGCCUUUAAGUCUGUACCACAAAAACGUCAGUGAGCCUUUCCUACCAUCUGAUCGUGUGUUGGAGAGCAGCAGUUUGGUGCAUUUUCAGAUUGGGCAUCGUGCUUAACGUCCUUUUGAUUCCAGCCUGUCUUCCAGCGUGUUCAAAACUCACACUUGCUUCUCCCAUUGAGUUGCAUCAAGAUAAAACAAGUGGAAUUUAUCAGAUCUUACCAUCACCAGACAACGCCGUGGAGGCAGCAGACAUUCAGAUGCAGAUCAGAGAGAGCGUUUCAUCUGCAUGCACGUUAUUUGACUGAAGUGAACUGGUUUGAGAACUGGCAUUAAAAUACCAACACUGGCAGUUAAUGCUCCAGCCUUUGAACAGCAGCAGGCAGCUUCAGAGGAAGGGCAGGGCUGGUGGCAGCACCACCACUGCUGUUUGCUCAUACAGCUCUGACUGCUCUCUGUACUCACCAUCCUCCAAGUAAAGACACAGGAGCCAAAUUGGCUCCAAGAAGCAGUUUCUGUUCACCCUGGCUCUGACUCAGCCCCCUCCAAGGGCCAGCAGUGCCACCUACCAGCUCUUGGAGUGGGGAAAUGAGCAACAAGUCUUGGUCUUAUCUGCACCGAGUGAUCACACCAUGCUUUUAGAAAGCAAUAUGCUUCGCAUGUGUGCUGGCACACACAUCUGCCUCAGCUCCAUCCUGGGAACAUUGCUGUCACUGAUAGCAUUUCCAUCUGGAAGUAGGAGAACUGGGAUAACAUCAAAUGGCAGAAAGUGAUAUAGAGCUUCGGGGAGGUGCCCUGAGCUCACAGCACAGCCCUGUGCUUUGGUGAGAGGCUCUUGUACCUGGUGCUGUAGCAGAAGACCUGAGCAGUUCGUUCUUUACACUGCACACCUCUCCAGAGCUGAUCCUCCACGUGCAGAUGUGCUUCUCGCAGAUUAACACCACCAACCAGUUUGUAGCUGCAGGCAUGCGAGCAAAAAGGCAAAGGGUCAAAGCUCCAGCCUGGAAUAAAUCACAGUGAGCCACUAACACGCAGUGUGAGCAGAAACGAGCAGCAGGGGAGAUGGAAAAGAACAGGCUGUGUCCUGACAGGCAGACCUCAGCAAGACAGAUUUAGCUCUCGUUCAGCCAGGAGGAUAUUUGUCACUGCAAGGACAGGCCUGCAUUAUUUUUAGUGGAUGCAUCAUGAGUCCGCAGCUUUAAAGGACAGCGAAAGAAAGAUCAGCUUGUCUGGUGAGGGCUUAUCCUGUUCUCUCAGAGCACACACAGCCCUGAGAAGCCGAGGAAUGUGUCAGUACAUACAAGACACCAUGUGCUGCUUCAAGUACCACGCCUGCUUUUAUUGCUGCUAGCUGUGACACUAGCAGUCAGCAAACCCUGACAUCACACGUGCUGUCCUUACCCUGGGCCAUGCGCACAGCAGCGUGCCUGCAGGCUGAGCCCGACGGAGCACUUCCCGAUAAAACACACUGGAGUUUGAAAAAGAUGGUCUUGCUUUCUACCGGUCCACGUGGCCCCAGCUGUGACACGGCACUCAGCCCUGCAG
ensembl:lncRNA